rnacentral:lncRNA from 1 species
GGUAUCUGCCCGUCUUUACAUAUGCAUCAUAGGUGAUGAAGAUGUCGACAAAACAUGACUCUUAAUUGAUAUAGACCUAGGAGAAGGACAACAACUCUUUGUACCUUCAUAAAUCUAUUGUAGUUAUUAUUAAAGAGGCAAUACUAACUUAUAUGAUCAAAUUAGUUAGCCAAUAAUUUUAAUUAAGAGUCCUAUUGCUGUUCAUUUUUGUUG